ensembl:lncRNA novel transcript, sense intronic to ERBIN
UUUUUUGUUGUUUUUUUUUUUUUUUUUUUUUUUUUUUUUUUUUUUUUUUUUGAGACGGAGUCUCACUCUGUUGCCCGAGCUGGAGUACAGUGGGCGAUCUUGGCUCACUGCACCCUUCGCCUCCUGGGUUCAAGCGAUUCUCCUGUCUCAGCCUCUCAGGUAGCUGGGACUACAGGCAUGUGCUACCAUUUUUGUAUUUUUAGUAGAGGUGGGUUUCACCAUGUUGGUCAGGCUAAUCUUGAACUUCUGAGUUCAAGUGGUUUGCCCACCUCGGCCUCCCGAAGUGCUGGGAUUACAGGUGUGAACCACUGCACCUGGCCCCAUUCUUAUCAGAUUUAACCUUCAGUGAGAUUUCUCUCGUUCACUCUGUCUGAAGUUGCUCUUCCUCUGAUUCCUCUCCCCUUAAUGUGUUUUUAGUUCAUGGCACAUAACACAAUCUGAAUUUUCCUUAUCAUUUACUAUUGUUUUUUCCUUCUUGGAAUGUAAGCUCAUUAAGCCCAGACAUCUUGUAUAUAUUUAGUCAUGCCUGUAUCCUCUUGAUAAAUCCAUGGGAUCAAAUAGUGUCCCUUGAAGCAUCAUCACAUGCAAAUAAAAUGACGGUGCAGUUAACCUCUACUAUAACAAGGACCUUCAGGAAGUAUUCCAGAAGAAGGCAUUGUUAUCAUAGGAGAUGACAGUUCCGGUUGUGUUGUUGCCCCUGAAGACCUUCCAGUCAGACAAGAUAUGGAGGUGGAAGACGGAUAGUAAUGAUCCUGACCCUGUAUAGGCCUAGGCUAAUGUGUGUGUUUGUGUUUUCAUUUUUAACCAAAAAGUUUAAAAAGUUAAAAAAAAAUUUCUUUUAAAUAGGAAGAAAAAAGCAUAUAAAAUAAGGAUAUAGGAGCUGGGCCUGGUAGUGUAUGCCUGGUAGUCCCAACUACUUAGGAGGCUGAGGUGGGAGGAUCCCUUGAGCCCAGGAGUUUGAGUCCAGCCUGGGUAACAUAGAGAGAUCCCAUCUCUAAGAAAAAGAAAAAAUAUUCUGGUUAGCUGUACAGUGUGUUUGUGUUUUACACCAUGUUAUUACAAAAGUUAAGAUUUUUUUAAAAAGAAAAAGUUUAUAACGUUAUAAUAAGCUAAGGUUUAUUAUUAAAGAAAAAAAAUUUUAAAUAAAUUUACAUAGCCUAAGUGUUUAUAAAGUCUGCAGUAGUGUACAGUAGUGUCCUAGACCUUCACAUUCACUCACUACUCACUCACUGACCCACAGCAAUUUCCAGCCCUGCAAGCUCUAUUUAUAAUAGGUGUACUAGUUUUUUUUUUAUCUUUCAUACCAUAUUUUUGCUGCACUGUUUCUAUGUUUAGAUAUGUUUAAAUACACAAAUACUUAUCAUUGUGUCACAGAUGCCUGCUGUAUUCAGUACAUCAGCAUGCGGUACGUGUUCUUAGUCUAGUGGCAGUAGGCUACACCAUAUAGCCUAGAGGUGUAGUAGGUUAUACCAUCUAGGUUUCUGUAAGUAGACUCUGUGAUGUUUGUACAAUGAUGAAAUUGCCAAACAGUGCAUUUCUUAGAACACAUCCUGUCAAGCAAUGCACGAUUGUUUCUUCCAACAAAGAUGCCUUUGGUUAAUCAGACCUUAUACCAAUUAUUUAUUGUGAAAUAAACCAUCUGAAACUUAGUGAUAUUAUAAACCAAGAAGAGUCAUCAGUAUUACCUAUCAUGGGUCUGGGGCUCAUCUUGGCUUAGCUAGUUGGUUCUUGCUCAAAUUCUUACGUGGUUGCAGUUAGAUGGUUGCCAGGGCCAUGAGCCAGAGCACCUGCGUGUGACUUCUCGGUAAGACUUGAGUUUCCUUACAGCAAGUGGCUGGUUUCAGAGGGCAAGUGGAUGAAAGGAAAAGGGCAAAAGCCUAAGUGGCAACUGUAUUAGCCUUUUUAUCCUAGCCUUGGACGUCAUGUAGCAUCACUUCUGUUAUAUUUUGUUUUUAAGAAGCGUGUCACCAAGACCAGCUCUUAUUCCAAUGACGGGGAAGAGGAUUUCACCUCUUGAGGGGAGAAGUGUAAAAGAAUUUGUGGAAAAUGUUAUACCUACCACAACCUCAUUCUACAAAAUAGUGGCAUCUUGUUGGUUAGGGAUUAAGUUCUAAAGUCAGUGUAAGUAGAAGGUAUCAUGAUGGGGAGACCAUUAUACAUUCUCUGUCCGGCACGGUGAGGAUUUUCUAUAGGUUCAAGAAAAAGUCACUGUUUCUUCAACUGAAUAUCAAAUAAGAUAUAUUUGGCUUGUGUUCAGUGCCUUUCUUGUGUGGAAAAUAUAUUUAAGUACUAGAGUAGCAUUCAGCAAGGUGCAAUUACCAGACUUUGAGAGGCUCUGUGGAAAAGAAAAUUGACAUCACUAUCAAACUAGUUACAAGACCUACAUUUAUUGAGUAAAGAAGGAAGGUAGGCAGAAUUACUUGCAUUAUUACUUUUAUUUAAUUUUGAUUUAAUUAAUUAAUUUAUUUGAGACGAUGUCUUGCUCCGUUGCCCAGGCUGGAGUGCAGUGGCCCGAUCUUGGCUCACUGCAACCUCCACCUCCUGGGUUCAAGCAAUUCUCCUAUCUCAGUCUCCCGAGUAGCUGGGACUACAAGCGCCUGCCACUAUGCCCUGCUAAUUUUUCUAUUUUUAGUAGAGACAGGGUUCCCUGUGUUGGUCAGGCUGGUCUCAAAACUCCAGACCUCAGGUGAUCCACCUGCCUCGGCCUCCCAAAGUGCUGGGAUUACAGGCGUGAGCCACUGCGCCUGGCCUAUUGCUUUUAUUUUUAAAUUUGGAGAAAUUAUGUAGCUCAAUUCAUAAAUAAGUAGAUGAACGAAGCAACUACUUUGUUUUCCCAAAUCUUUGUUUCAAAUAAGAAGGGAAAUAUCGUGAUUGAGAGGUCUCUUCCCUUCUUUUAGUAAAAAUAAUGCAAUACCGCGUUUAAGGGCAUAUAAGUGAAUGAGAGUUAGUAUUGACCUUAUGCUACUGUGAUAUAUGUCAAUUAAAAAAAUGCUAAUGUGUCAAUUUCGGGAGGAUAAAGCAAAAAGAAAAAAA